AUGCUAUUAAAAAAUCGGUCGAAGAUCUUGAAAAAUUCAAGUGGCCUAUCGGGAACUUGGCUCUUCUUCAGGUACAAGAAAUUUGUAAUAGUUACUAUCAUGCAAUAUAUAUACUGGGAAAAAGUUGAGCCAAUUGGUGUGGAUACAUUUGAUCCUUUGUCUCGUGAAUACCCACUAAUGGUUAACUGGCCAGAAACGGAAGGGAAAAAGAGAGACGACUAUGACAACAUGCACGGGCGUGGCACCGGCAAUCUUGAAAAUUGCGUUAGCCAAGAGUACGGACGUGCUAAGGUAGCACGUGAAGGGACUGUCCCAGAUGAAGAAAUGAAGAAACCUAAACGGAAAGGUGGUGGCAGGAGUAGAAAGCCAAGCACGUCAGGGGUUUCAUCGAACACGACUAACAGUAUGGACCGUGUGAUGACAUACAUAAAGCUGCUUCACAAGGAGGUUCUCAAUAUACCCGAAAGAUGUGCACAGAUGGUAAUGGAAAAGUUGAACACGGAAGGUGUGCUGUACAAACCCAAUAAGAGGGACAGCAAUGAUGAAUUUGUUAAUGUACGUCAAGGAGUUGGGAUGAAGAAUGGCCAGUACAAGUCAUCAAAAUAUUGGCCAGAUAUUGAUUCACCUACCGACGUGGAGCUAGUAACAUCUUUCACGUGUUUCAAUGAUAUGGACGUGCCCGUUGAUGACACGGGUGCUCCGACGACGACACCGGGUAAAGGUGAUGCUACUGAUCCUUUCAUUAUACACGAUAAUGAAAAGUACCCAUGUUCGUCAUCAACUGUACGUACAAAAGAGUUUCCGUCUAUGUCCCGAACCCCGCAGAAUGCUGAUAUUUCUGAUGAGUCUAUGGGUGGUUUGUCACCAACAAAGUCUGAAGACAUGUCUGAGAGUUUCCCGGCAAAGAGCAACAUAGGUAAUGGUGAAGGCAGUCAGGACAAUGAAGAUCUGUUUGCAUCGUCACCAUAUUCAAUUCUGGAAAGUACUCUUAAUAUGACUCCGGAUCACAUAGAGGCAGCCAGAGUUUUUGUUGAGACUCUCGCAUCGACAAAGAAGCAUGCACACCGAACCAUGGUCGAUAUGCCACCACCAGAUGGGGACAUAUGCACGCCAGCUAUGCUUCACGAUGUCCUCAAGUUUAAAUGGUUGAAUGGUGCUAUAAUCAAUGCAUAUUGUAAACACCUACAGCACCGUGAUUUCUCUGACCAUUUCAUAUCAACAACGUGGUUCCCAAAAUUUAUGUUGGGUAGGGCUAGGGGAAAGACCAAGUCAAUUAAUGAUUUAGAAUCAGAACAAGUUACAAAGAAAGCAAAAGUCGUCGCAAGAGUAAUGGAUGAGUAUUUCAGACGGGACAAGGCGUAUUUUCCUAUGCAUGUUAAUGAUAAUCAUUGGAUAACCAUAGUGAUACACACCGUCAAGGAGGAGUUUCAAGUUCUUGACUCAAAUUCUAAAGGCGCAAUUAGCCAAAGAAUUCGCAAUAUGAUUGGCACCCUGAGAGCUGAAAUAUCUAAGGAUAUUAUGGAGGCCAACUCUAUUCUUGAAUCAAAAAAAUUUCCAGAUGUCUCAUCGUGGCCAAUUAAUGAGUAUAAAAUGCUGGCACAACAUGAUGGAGUGUCUUGUGGACUUUUUGUGAUGUGGUGCAUAAAAUACUGGGACGGAGAUCGCUGGACACAUGAAUUUAACCAGCAAGAGAUUAAUGAGUCAAGGCCACGUAUUGUCGCGGAAAUCAUUUUUCUGAGGUCAACAGAUUAG
rnacentral:rRNA from 1 species